CCUCAGCUCCCAGGGCCUUGGUUUUCUCGUCUGUACAAUGGACACAGUAGCAGCACCUCGCAGGUUUGUUGUGACUUUAAAGGGGCUUAGCAUUGUUCUCAGCGCUGAGGAAUUGCUCAAUAAAUGCUGGUGGUUACAGUUUCCUUGGGAACCCAGGGAGCCAGGGCAAGCUGCAGAGAGGAAAAAGUGAAUCAGAGGGAAAAUGUUCAUAUCAGAAACUGGAGAUCAAAACAAAACAAAACAAAGCCCUUUUUUGGGCACUCAGGAAGCCAAUCUGAGCUGCUCCUCCAUGGCCUUGUCCAGCUUUGACAAAUGUUUUUCCUGUUCCCAGAGCAGACUCUGAUCCUCUUCAAGAUGGGAGACUCUCAGGGAAAUCUUCAGAGGUUUGUUAUGACGGAAGCAGGAAGGUGAUGGAUAUGUUUUGGGGCAUUUUGAAACACAAAGGUGAAUGUAAUUUGGGAGGAGAGCUGUAUUUUCAUCCAGAGCUAUUAAAAUGCACCAGAGUGCCCUCUCCCUAAACCCCUGCCAGCCUUGAUAUUUUCCUAGAUCUCCACUCUAGAACUUCUGUGAGUGACACAGGCAGCCAUGACCGAGCUCACCGGAGUGGCGCAGCCAGUUUGCAGAUGAAGUUUUCCCAAGUGGGCCCAGAGCUGCCUGCAAACAUGGCCAGCGACAAGGACGUGGAGUGAGUCACUUCCCUUUGCCGUGAUGUGCCCACAGCUGCUCAACUGCACGAUCGGGCAGGUCCUGCUUAACCGGGUGAGGUCAAGUUCGAAGAGCUGAGUCUUGCAAUCUGGGAAACCAAGCCAUGAACCUGGUUCUGUCACCAGCUGAAGUCAAGUUGCUCAAGACUCCAUCCUUCUCUAGAGAGCCUAUCGGGAGCUUAUUUGGAGUGAAUACCAUUCGGAAAAAAAUUCAGCUAAGAAAAACAGGAAUCAAGACAUCAGUACAGGUUGCUGACAGGACCUUUGAUCUGGCCAGAAAUAAAUAUAAAGGAAGCAGCCACGAGCUCUCUUGCUGAGUUGCCAUCCAAACCAGCGGAGAUCAAUUUCGGUCUCAGGUGGCCCCCAGGACCGGGGAGCAGUGGGUGUGAGUUCCACUUUGCAAGGGGAGGCUGAGGCUCCCUGGAGAUUGUCCAGUGCUUCCUGCCUCCCGAGGCAGGGGAUGUGGGGAGAAAAGAAGACUCCAAAGAGCUCAGCACUGGCAGUGGGCUGGGUUCCGGAGAAGAGUCUGACCUGAUCCAGACGUGACAGUGAACUGCAGCAUUUGGGAAACGACAGUGAUGACAGCAGGUCCUUUCUCAUGCCUCCCACACAGUGGGCAAAAUACUCACACACAUAACCUUACUUGACCAUUACGGGGGCCCUAGGAAGCACGGAGGACCAUUAUUUUCACUUCAGAGGAGAAAACCGAGGUUUGGGGUAUAUUCAUGAGUUUCCCAGGGUCACCGUAGCUAAGGUGCCUCAGAGGAGAAUCCAGGCUCUGUGACUCCGACACUUAGCCAUUUAACCACUCUUCUCUUCUUAGCUAAUGACCGCAGCCCAGACGUUUGAGUUUCUCAAUGGAAAUGUUAUAGUUUCCCGCCUUGGUCCUUGAGCUGCAGUAUUAUAAAAACAGCAUCAUGAAGCAUGGUAUUUAUUGAAUGCUUGCUGUGUACACAGCCUGUGGGGGACUUUGACGGUCCAGAGGUGGGUGUGCACAGGAGGGCUCGGGAAGGAGUAGGGGAAGAGGUGUGGUUAUUAGGUGAUGUGGCCCUGUGUCUGGCUUGGGUGGCAGGAUGAAUGGCAGGACCACUCACCAGAUCAGCACACGGAAGGAAAAGGAUCAGCGGGGAGAAGGGGACAGGGACACUGAUCACUCACUCAGCACCAGCCCCUUACUCCCUACAAAUAGACUUUGUUCAUGCUUUGGCUGGUGGUGUAGUGGUGGCGUGUGAACCAUUUCUAAUCCAUGAGUAUUAGAUAGGGGCUGGAAUGACUCCAGAAAUGUUGCUUCUUGAUUGAUCCAAGUGAUCCCAGAGAAGGGGUUGCCUGCUGUCCUGUGCUUUCUGCCUUUGCCUGGGGUCGUGGUGUCUGGAGCCGGGACCGCCAUCUUGG
rnacentral:lncRNA from 1 species